GAUGAACGCUAGCGGGAGGCCUAACACAUGCAAGCCGAGCGGUAUUGUUUCUUCGGAAAUGAGAGAGCGGCGUACGGGUGCGGAACACGUGUGCAACCUGCCUUUAUCUGGGGGAUAGCCUUUCGAAAGGAAGAUUAAUACUCCAUAAUAUAUUGAACGGCAUCGUUUAAUAUUGAAAGCUCCGGCGGAUAGAGAUGGGCACGCGCAAGAUUAGCUAGUUGGUGAGGUAACGGCUCACCAAGGCGAUGAUCUUUAGGGGGCCUGAGAGGGUGAUCCCCCACACUGGUACUGAGACACGGACCAGACUCCUACGGGAGGCAGCAGUGAGGAAUAUUGGUCAAUGGGUGCAAGCCUGAACCAGCCAUCCCGCGUGAAGGACGACUGCCCUAUGGGUUGUAAACUUCUUUUGUAUAGGGAUAAACCUACCCUCGUGAGGGUAGCUGAAGGUACUAUACGAAUAAGCACCGGCUAACUCCGUGCCAGCAGCCGCGGUAAUACGGAGGGUGCAAGCGUUAUCCGGAUUUAUUGGGUUUAAAGGGUCCGUAGGCGGACUUAUAAGUCAGUGGUGAAAGCCUGUCGCUUAACGAUAGAACUGCCAUUGAUACUGUAAGUCUUGAGUAUAUUUGAGGUAGCUGGAAUAAGUAGUGUAGCGGUGAAAUGCAUAGAUAUUACUUAGAACACCAAUUGCGAAGGCAGGUUACCAAGAUAUAACUGACGCUGAGGGACGAAAGCGUGGGGAGCGAACAGGAUUAGAUACCCUGGUAGUCCACGCCGUAAACGAUGCUAACUCGUUUUUGGGCUUUAGGGUUCAGAGACCAAGCGAAAGUGAUAAGUUAGCCACCUGGGGAGUACGCUCGCGAGAGUGAAACUCAAAGGAAUUGACGGGGGCCCGCACAAGCGGUGGAUUAUGUGGUUUAAUUCGAUGAUACGCGAGGAACCUUACCAAGACUUAAAUGGGAAUUGACAGCUUUAGAAAUAGAGCUUUCUUCGGACAAUUUUCAAGGUGCUGCAUGGUUGUCGUCAGCUCGUGCCGUGAGGUGUUAGGUUAAGUCCUGCAACGAGCGCAACCCCUGUCACUAGUUGCCAUCAUUCAGUUGGGGACUCUAGUGAGACUGCCUACGCAAGUAGAGAGGAAGGUGGGGAUGACGUCAAAUCAUCACGGCCCUUACGUCUUGGGCCACACACGUAAUACAAUGGCCGGUACAGAGGGCAGCUACACAGCGAUGUGAUGCAAAUCUCGAAAGCCGGUCUCAGUUCGGAUUGGAGUCUGCAACUCGACUCUAUGAAGCUGGAAUCGCUAGUAAUCGCGCAUCAGCCAUGGCGCGGUGAAUACGUUCCCGGGCCU
rnacentral:rRNA from 1 species